rnacentral:rRNA from 1 species
AGAGUUUGAUCAUGGCUCAGGACGAACGCUGGCGGCGCGCUUAACACAUGCAAGUCGAGCGAGAACCGGUCCUUCGGGACCGGGGAAAGCGGCGAACGGGUGAGUAACACGUGGGUAAUCCACCCUCGGCACCGGAAUAGCUCGGGGAAACCCGGAUUAAUGCCGGAUGGCCCAGCAGCUCUUCGGAGCGGUUGGAAAAGGUAGCUUCGGCCUCCGGCCGGGGACGAGCCCGCGGCGGAUUAGCUUGUUGGCGGGGUAACGGCCCACCAAGGCGACGAUCCGUAGCUGGUCUGAGAGGACGAUCAGCCACACUGGGAUUGAGAACGGCCCAGACUCCUACGGGGGGCAGCAGUGAGGAAUCUUCGGCAAUGGGGGCAACCAUGACCGAGCGACGCCGCGUGCGGGAAGACGCCUUUCGGGGUGUAAACCGCUUUUCUGGGGGACGAGGACGGACGGUACCCCAGGAAGAAGUCUCGGCUAACUACGUGCCAGCCGCCGCGGUAAUAC